GUCCUACGGGGGGCAGCAGUUAGGAAUAUUCGUCAAUGGGGGAAACCCUGAACGAGCAAUGCCGCGUGAAGGAUGACGGUCCUAUGGAUUGUAAACUUCUGUUGUUAGGGAAGAACGACCUAAGUAGGAAAUGACUUAGGAGUGACGGUACCUUUCAAGAAAGCUCCGGCUAACUACGUGCCAGCAGCCGCGGUAAUACGUAGGUGGCACGCGUUAUUCGGAUUUACUGGGUGUAAAGGGCGUGUAGGCGGGAAAGCAAGUCAGAUGUGAACACCACGGGCU
rnacentral:rRNA from 1 species